AUCCGUCGGGAGCGCCCUGGCUCCCGAUGAAUGCAGUGUCCAAAUACGGUCUCUGUAUCGAUAGUUCAGCUCUCUCAGUGCGAUUCCUCUUGCCAGCGCCGGACCGUAUCUCCUUCGUCACCGCGACCUCUGACUCAAGGUGCAGAGCGUGUGGCUGACUCCUCCACGUGGUGAUGACAACUGGCAUUGCUCUGAGUCAGUUUAAGUAGCAGUGAUGCGGAUUAAGGUAUCCUCAACCAGCAGACGAGUGUGGGAACAACUGCUGCUCCAUAUAGCAGAACACUGGGGGAUGUGGGGGGGUCUUUUGUUGCUUUCUUCAGUGUCUAGGAAUUCGUAGGUGCUAGUGAGACUCCAGAGUUAAAGAAUCAUGGGUUUGGUAAUUAUAGACGGGGUAGCAGUCUAUAAUUACCAGCCUGCAGUCUUCAGGUGCUCUCUCUGUAUAUGCAUUUUAAUGACAAAAUCAUAAUAAAUAUUUCUGUUCCUU